GAGGCCUUAGCUUAAUUAAAGCGUUUGAGUUGCAGUCAUAAUAUGUAGGUUAAAAUUUUACAGGUCUUC
rnacentral:tRNA from 1 species